rnacentral:rRNA from 1 species
UACGGGGGGAGCAAGCGUUGUUCGGAUUUACUGGGCGUAAAGGGCGCGUAGGCGGCCACCGCAAGUCGAUUGUGAAAUCUCCGGGCUUAACCCGGAAAGGUCAACCGAUACUGCGGGGCUAGAGUGCAGAAGGGGCAACUGGAAUUCUCGGUGUAGCGGUGAAAUGCGUAGAUAUCGAGAGGAACACCUGCGGCGAAGGCGGGUUGCUGGGCUGACACUGACGCUGAGGCGCGAAGGCCAGGGGAGCAAACGGG